AUUUGGGCAAGUCUUAUACGACCAGCUCCUGCUGAAUCCCCCAGGUCUUGAUCGAAGCAAGGGUAGGCGGUUGUAGCGGUGCGAUGUGAGUAACUUGCCCU
rnacentral:SRP_RNA from 1 species